UCUUGCCCUUGGUAUCUGACGUCCAGCUUUUAUCUAUUUGUAGCUGGGUGUUUCGUUUUUACGGGCAGAUACAAAGUUGUUGAACAGGUCUUGCGACACAGUUAGCUUUUGUUUUUCAUAAGCUUUCUGUUACUAAAUCCCUGGUCACAUUU
rfam:Gossypium arboreum cultivar AKA8401 contig_20508_1, whole genome shotgun sequence.